AUUGAACGCUGGCGGCAUGCUUUACACAUGCAAGUCGAACGGUAACAGGGUGCUUGCACCGCUGACGAGUGGCGAACGGGUGAGUAAUGCAUCGGAAUGUACCGUGUAAUGGGGGAUAGCUCGGCGAAAGCCGGAUUAAUACCGCAUACGCCCUGAGGGGGAAAGUGGGGGACCGAAAGGCCUCACGUUAUACGAGCAGCCGAUGUCUGAUUAGCUAGUUGGUGAGGUAAAGGCUCACCAAGGCGUCGAUCAGUAGCGGGUCUGAGAGGAUGAUCCGCCACACUGGGACUGGGACACGGCCCAGACUCCUACGGGAGGCAGCAGUGGGGAAUUUUGGACAAUGGGCGCAAACCUGAUCCAGCCAUGCCGCGUGUCUGAAGAAGGCCUUCGGGUUGUAAAGGACUUUUGUCCGGGAGCAAAUCCUAGUGGUUAAUACCUACUGGGGCUGAGAGUACCGGAAGAAUAAGCACCGGCUAACUACGUG
rnacentral:rRNA from 1 species